rnacentral:rRNA from 1 species
UUCGCCCUUAGAGUUUGAUCCUGGCUCAGGAUGAACGCUGGCGGCGUGCCUAAUACAUGCAAGUCGAGCGAACCACUUCGGUGGUGAGCGGCGAACGGGUGAGUAACACGUAGGUGAUCUGCCCAUCAGACGGGGACAACGAUUGGAAACGAUCGCUAAUACCGGAUAGGACGAAAGUUUAAAGGUGCUUCUGGCACCGCUGAUGGAUGAGCCUGCGGCGCAUUAGCUAGUUGGUAGGGUAAAGGCCUACCAAGGCGACGAUGCGUAGCCGACCUGAGAGGGUGAACGGCCACACUGGGACUGAGACACGGCCCAGACUCCUACGGGAGGCAGCAGUAGGGAAUCUUCGGCAAUGGGCGAAAGCCUGACCGAGCAACGCCGCGUGAAUGAUGAAGGCCUUCGGGUUGUAAAAUUCUGUUAUAAGGGAAGAACGACUUUAGUAGGAAAUGGCUAGAGUGUGACGGUACCUUAUGAGAAAGCCACGGCUAACUACGUGCCAGCAGCCGCGGUAAUACGUAGGUGGCGAGCGUUAUCCGGAAUUAUUGGGCGUAAAGAGCGCGCAGGUGGUUGAUUAAGUCUGAUGUGAAAGCCCACGGCUUAACCGUGGAGGGUCAUUGGAAACUGGUCGACUUGAGUGCAGAAGAGGGAAGUGGAAUUCCAUGUGUAGCGGUGAAAUGCGUAGAGAUAUGGAGGAACACCAGUGGCGAAGGCGGCUUCCUGGUCUGUAACUGACACUGAGGCGCGAAAGCGUGGGGAGCAAACAGGAUUAGAUACCCUGGUAGUCCACGCCGUAAACGAUGAGUGCUAAGUGUUGGGGGUCGAACCUCAGUGCUGAAGUUAACGCAUUAAGCACUCCGCCUGGGGAGUACGGUCGCAAGACUGAAACUCAAAGGAAUUGACGG